AUGGCUGCUUCAUCCCUCGUGUCCACGUUGGCCACCCUGCUGCUCUGACCCGCACAGAACUGCUGCCUCUGUCACUGUCCACUCCAUUUCUCAGCUUUUCAAAAUGAAGCUGUUGUCAUUUCUGGAAGGAAACUUGCCCAGCAGAUCAAGCAGGAAGUGCGGCAGGAGGGGGAAGAGUGGGUGGCAGCCGGCAACAAACGGUCAUACCUGAGCGUGGUUCUGGCUGGGGAGAAUCCUACAAGUCAUUACUCUGUCCUCAACAAAACCAAGGCUGCUGCAGAUGUGGGAAUCAACAGUGAGACAAUUGUGAAACCUGCUUCAAUUUCAGAGGAAGAACUGUUGAACUUAAUCAAUAAACUAAAUAACGAUGAUAACGUCGAUGGCCUCCUUGUUCAGCUGCUGCUUCCUGAGCACAUAGAUGAGAGGAAGAUCUGCAUCACUGUUUCUCCAGACAAGGAUGUUGAUGGCUUCCAUGUAAUCAACGUGGGGCGAAUGUGUUUGGACCAGUAUUCCAUGUUACCGGCUACCCCCUGGGGUAUGUGGGAGAUCAUUAAGCGCACUGGCAUUCCGACCCUAGGGAAGAAUGUGGUUGUAGCUGGAAGGUCCCAAAAUGUUGGGAUGCCCAUUGCAAUGUUGCUGCACACAGACAGGGUGCAUGAACAUCCUGGAGGUGAUGCCACUGUUACAAUAUCGCAUCAAUACACCCCCAAAGAGCAGCUGAAAACACAUACCAUUCUUGCAGAUAUUGUGAUCUCUGCUGCAGGCAUUCCAAAUUUGAUCACAGCAGAUAUGAUCAAGGAAGGAGCAGCCGUCAUUGGUGUGGGAAUAAAUAGAAUUCAGGAUCCUAUCACUGCUAAACCCAAGUUGGUUGGAGAUGUGGAUUUUGAAGAAGUCUGGAAAAAAGCCGGUUACAUCACUACAGUCCCUGGGGGUGUUGGUCCCAUGACAGUGGCGAUGCUAAUGAAGAAUACCCUUAUCGCUGCAAAAAAGGUGCUGAGGCUUGAAGACCAGGUGGUACUGAAGUCUAAAGAGAUUGGAGUGGCAACUAAUUAACUAGUCUGUCUUCUGGGUCAUGAACGGUACUCCAAGCCAGUUCAGGAGGCAAAACAGGCCAAUAGAAAUGCAGCAUCUCUUAUUUAUUCUACUGACAUGGUUUUAAACAAUGCUUUGUAUUUAUUGAAAGCUUAAGUGGGUGGAUGCUUGUGCACAUAACUCUCCCCAGUAUCUCACCAGGGAUCAUGCCAUUAUUAUGCUGGGUCAUGUGAUCUGGCCAUAAGAGGAGCCAUUAGCCUGGUGAUUGCAUGGGGGACACUCCCAUUGAGAAGGGCUGCUUUACUUUGUCAGACCACUUCAGUUACCAAUUGCCUUUUCCAGGAUUGCAUUUCCCAAGUGCUAUUCCAAUAAGAGUUGAUACUCACUUCAGGUUCCAAACCUUUUGAGCUCAACUGGUCAAACCAAAGGAAAAAUGUUGCUAGAGAAAAUUAGAGAAAAGGUACAAAAGAAGAAAUGAUAGUAAUUUGAGUAGAAAAAAUUUACCCUAAUUU